rnacentral:rRNA from 1 species
UCCCGAAUCCUGACACAGGGAGGUAGUGACAAGAAAUAACAAUACAGGGCUCUUUCGAGUCUUGUAAUUGGAAUGAGUACAAUUUACAUCUCUUCACGAGGAUCAAUUGGAGGGCAAGUCUGGUGCCAGCAGCCGCGGUAAUUCCAGCUCCAAUAGCGUAUAUUAAAGUUGUUGCAGUUAAAACGCUCGUAGUCGGAUUUCGGGGCAGGUUUGCCGGUCUGCCGAUGGGUAUGCACUGGUAGAACUGUCCUUCCUUCCGGAGACGGCGCCUACUCUUAACUGAGCGGGUGUCGGAGACGGAUCGUUUACUUUGAAAAAAUCAGAGUGUUUCAAGCAGGCAGCUCGCUUUUGCAUGGAUUAGCAUGGGAUAAUGAAAUAGGACUUUGGUGCUAUUUUGUUGGUUUCGAACACCGAAGUAAUGAUUAACAGGGACAGUCAGGGGCACUCGUAUUCCA